GCCUCUCCGGGGGCAGAAGGACAAGCAAGAACGUUCAGGAGAAGGAAGCGAAUCCUUGAGCUGAGGAGUGUAGUCAGCACCCCGGAAUCCAGAACCAAGUCCUAAGAAACACCGGCCGUGGAAGGAGGAUGGAGAAGCCCCUGGGAGCCUCGUUACUGAUGCUGGGGCUCCAUUUGGCCUUUUUCUUUCUGAUAGGGGCGAGAGGGGAAGACAAGAUGGAGCAGACACCUCCGUCCCUGAGCAUCCAGGAGGGAGAGAAUAGCACCAUGAGCUGCAGCUACACAAGCAGUGUUUUAAAUUACCUGCACUGGUACCGACAGGACCCUGGGAAAGAACCUACCUUCCUGAUGUUAUUGUAUUCAGAUGGGAAAGAAGAAACCAAGGAAAGAUUCACAGCCAAACUUGAGAAGAGUAAGAAACACAGCUUCCUGAACAUCACAGCAGCCCAACCUGAAGACUCAGCCACCUACCUCUGUGCUGAGGAUACACAGUGAUCCCCAGACACUUGC